ACAAAGCCUGCCUUAGCCCUGAGGCCAAGCCAGCCCCUAGUGCUGUGUCCCAACAUUUAAAGAUCAUAGAAGUUCAACUUCUUGCAAUAUAUUCUCAAGAGGUUUUCUUGUUUACCCCUCAGGACAGGUCUGUAAGGAUGGGUAUGGUUAGUCCCAGUUCACAGAUGACCAAGCUCAGGCUCACAGAGCCUAAGUCACCUGCCCAGACCCUUCGUGACAGAGAAGUUCGAGAAUGGUGGUACUGUUGCGCCCUCUCGUGACAGAAGCCUGAACUACAGCUAGAACAUCGCGAGCAGGAAGACGCUUCUUGAUGGAGGAGUUCGAUAACGGUGGUACCAUGGCGCCCCCUGGUGACAGAAGCCU